GCGAGCAGCCUUUCCCUUUACAUAUACAGUCACUGGCAGGUACGGUAACUUCCUUAUAAUUUUCCUUUUACAGUGUGAAUGAAGAUGUAAGUUAACACACACUUGAAUACGCCAACAGACUACCCUUCCACAUAUACAGUCAUUGGCAGGUAAGUUUCUUCUAAUUUCCCUUAUACAGUGUGAAUGAAGAUGUAAGUUAACAUACACUUGAAUACGCCAACAGACUACCCUUCCACAUAUACAGUCAUUGGCAGGUAUAUUCCUCUCCAUUUUCUUAUGCCAUGUGGACAAAUAAAUUCACACACACAUAAUACCACACUGAGCAGACCUUCCCCUUACAAAACUCAAUCAUCCUCGGGUAGGUCACCGUGCACAACUGUUUAUAUAUCUCGCCACGGCCUCCGAGCCUUACCGUCACACCCCAGAGCUGUCACACCACACACACACGUACCCUCCCCCCGUACAGCCGUCUGCAUCAAUGUGUAUGUCUGUAGGUUGGUUACACUGCUACACUGGUCAUGGCUACACCCUAUUGCUCCCCUUGAGAAUGACACACACCACUGCAGCAACAGGCUUCUCAUACGACACACAGUAGAUAUAAUUCGUAGUCGCUAUAUGUACAGGGAAUUAGUUUUUUUUUUCGUUUUUCGCUUCAUAAUAUUACGCUGGAAGCCAGUCGUGAUUUAAGGCCAUAGAUUUCAAUACGAGCGGAACUUCUUUUUUCCAUCCUUGGCUACAACAGAAAACAGUUAUGAUAAUCCUGUGUUACGUCCUGCUGUGUUCUGAGUCGGUGGAUGGCGUGGCGUGGGUGGCGAAAGCAAGUGACGGUGGCGGAUGCAAGACCAAUGAUUUUGUUUACGUUAAAAAGUCAUUAGUCGUGUGAGGUGGAAGAACUGACAGAACUGAUGACCUAGGAAACUGUAAGCCACUAUGUCCUUGUUUGACGUGAGUGGAAAAACAGGUAACAGAGGCGGAUGCAAGACCAAUGAUUUUGUUUACGUUAAAGUCAUUAGUCGUGAGAGGUGGAAGAACUGAGAGAACUGAUAACCUAGGAAGCUGUAAGCCACUAUGUCCUUGUUUGACGUGGGUAGCAAAACAAGUAUUAGUGGCGGAUGCAAGACCAAUGAUUUUGUUAACGUUAAAAGUCAUUAGUCGUGUGAGGUGAACUGAUAACCUAGGACACUGUAAGCCACUAUGUCCUUGUUUGACGUGAGCGCAAAAACAAGUAUUAGUGGUAGAUGCAAGACCAAUGAUUUUGUUAACGUUAAAGUCAUAAGUCGUGUGAGAGAACUGAUACAAGUCAAUCUAAGGAACUGUAAGGCAAUGGUGUGUAGGUAUUCAAAAUUGACCUAUCUUCUGGCACUCCUUACUCCUUCUCCUCCUCCAAUUUCUGUUUUUCCUUCCAUAUAUUUUUGCAGCAUGGAUUUUGCCUUCACUGGUAGCCUGGUAACAUACACUCCCAUGUCUUUCUCUGCCUCUGUGGUGGAUAGUGGAGUGGUAUUGGGUAGCCUGGUAACAUACAGUCCCAGGUCUUUCUCUGCCUCUGUGGUGGAUAGUGGAGUGUUUCACAUGUGGUAUUGGUGUGCUGGAUAUCCCCUCCCAAGGUGCAGGACUUUACAUUUUUCUUCAGUGAACUGUAGCAGCCACUUUUUGCUCCAUUCCUGUAGCUUGGUGAUGUCUUCUUGUAGGGAAUCCACAGUCAAGGGGUUAAGAGGUGACAUGGGGUGUUGUGUGGUCUGAAUAUCUAUGUAAAUAUCUCCUCGUACAGUCUCCAAGUCAUCUUCAGUCUUACAUGUGGUCUCAUCGCACCCCCACACACCUCUACACAUGAUACCGACACACCAAUGCCUUACAAAAUGAGUGCAUGUGACUAGCUUCUAUCUACUCCUUAUAUAACCCGACCACAAGACAACCAAGGCGCGAACUCAAGCAUGAAACAAGAGCAAGAGUAAUGGAGCUAAGGAAGACAAGCUGCUGCCAGUGUUCAUGUGUGUUGGUGCUAAGUGAGUGCAAGAGCUCGAACUUAAACUUGACGGGGAAGAGAAAGACAUAUAUUGAAGGUGUGGUACAGAUAAUUAGCACUUUUUAAGGUAAGGGAAGGGAAGGGAAGGUUAGGGAAGGUAAGGUUAGGUUAGGUAUGGUAAGGUUAGGUAAGGUUCGGUUAGGUUAGGUAAGGAAGGUUAGGUUAGGUUUGGUAUGGUUAAGUUAGGUAAGGUUAGGUAAGAUUGGGCAAGGUUGGGUAAGGUAAGGUAUGGUAAGGUUAGGUAAGGUUAGGUAAGGUAAGGUAAGGUUAGGUAAGGUUAGGUUUGGUUAGGUUAGGUUAGGUAAGGUUAGGUAAGGUUAGGUAGGGUUAGGUAAGGUUAGGUUAAGUUAGAUAAAGUAAGGAAAGCCAAAUCAAGGUAAGGUGAGGUUUUCAAGGCAAGCUAAGGUAUGGUAGGGUAAGGUAACAUCAUAAGGUAACAUCAAGGUAAGGUAAGGUACAGCAACACUCCAUCACUGGGCGCGCAGCAACACCCACAGGAGUUUUCCGGGCGACCAAUAGUUCACAUCACGCUCCACCCUUGCGUUAAAAUCGUCUAGUAUCACAUUGACGUAAUUCUAGAGUUGACUACAUCAGCACACAGGAGGCAUCACA